rnacentral:ncRNA from 1 species
CCCUUAUCAAGAGUGGCGGAGGGACCAGGCCCUAUGAUGCCCGACAACCUACCGGUGAAAAAAUCCGGUAAGGUGCUAAUUCCUGCGGUGAGACCGAAAGAUGAGGC